GACAGAGGUGCCAAGCGUUAGGCGGAAUCACUGGGCUUAAAGCGUGUGUAGGUGGAAGCGUAAGUACCUUGUGAAAUCCCACGGCUCAACCGUGGAACUGCUUGAUAUACUGCGUUUCUUGAGCCAACUAGGGGCUAUCGGAACAAGUGGUGGAGCGGUGAAAUGCGUAGAGAUCGGGAGGAACACCGGUGGCGAAGGCGGCCUUCUGGACGGUGACUGACGCUGAGGCGCGAAAGCGUGGGGAGCAAACGGG
rnacentral:rRNA from 1 species